rnacentral:rRNA from 1 species
UACGUAGGGCGCAAGCGUUAUCCGGAAUUAUUGGGCGUAAAGAGCUCGUAGGCGGUUUGUCGCGUCUGCCGUGAAAGUCCGGGGCUCAACUCCGGAUCUGCGGUGGGUACGGGCAGACUAGAGUGUGGUAGGGGAGACUGGAAUUCCUGGUGUAGCGGUGAAAUGCGUAGAUAUCGGGAGGAACACCAGAGGCGAAGGCGGCGAACUGGACAGUAACUGACACUCAACUGCGAAAGCGUGGGGAGCAAACAGG